rnacentral:rRNA from 1 species
CCGUUCCGGGUUGUUAAAGGUCUACUUUCAGUUACGGAAAGAAAACGGGUACAACGGUCGAACCACCCGUGACGUAAUUGACGGUACUGUCAGAAGAAGCACCGGCUAACUACGUGC